rnacentral:rRNA from 1 species
GACGAACGCUGGCGGCGUGCUUAACACAUGCAAGUCGAACGGAAAGGCCCUGCCUUUGUGGGGUGCUCGAGGGGCGAACGGGGGAGUAACACGUGUGUAACCUGCCCUUGACUUUGGGAUAACUUCAGGAAACUGGGGCUAAUACCGGAUAGGAGCUCCCGCUGCAUGGUGGGGGUUGGAAAGUUUCGGUGGUUGGGGAAGGACUCGCGGCUUAUCCGCUUGUUGGGUGGGUAGUGGCUUACCAAGGCCUUGACGGGUAGCCGGCCUGAGAGGGUGACCGGACCCGUUGGGACUGAGAUGCGACCCAGCCUCGUACGGGAGGCAGGGGUGGGGAAUAGUGCACAAGGGGCGGAAGCCUGAUGCAGCAAAGCCGCGUGCGGGAUGACGGCCUUGGGUUUGUAAACCGCAUUCGCCUGUGCCGAGGAGUGAGUGACGGUACUAGGUAAAGAAGCACCGGCUAACUACGUG